CUAUGUUGUCCUAUUUUACCCAAGACCUUUUGCCAGAGCAAAACAUACAAGAUGCAUUCCCAAAAUCAAUACUGAGAGGAUAUGGAAAUGGCAGCCUUGAUAAUUUCCACUGGAGGAAAGACUGGGGAAAAGUAGAUGAAUUGCUGACGUGAAAACACAUGCUUAAUGGUUGCUGCAUCAGAGAUACGAGAAGUUAUUUUAUAUUAAGUGUGCAUCGCUGAUAUACUUUUGCACGAAAGAUGAAAGAUGCUGAAAUGUAAGAUGUGUGAGUCAAAUCUUGCUACAAAGCCUCUUUGUAGUUGUCUUACAUACCUGUAAUUGAUUCAUGAGUUAAGUGUUUAUCUUCUGCAUUAUAAGAAGAGAGAAUCAUUUUGAAUUUCAUAAAUCAUUGGUUCUAGCAGUAUUUCAUUAUGGUAAUAUACCGCAAGUUUUGAAAUGCUUUUUAAGAUUCUUUGUGAACUUAAUUUGUUUUUAAUUGAACACAAUUGUGUUAAAUGUGUUAGAUCUGGUGCUCAUGGAAUAAUGUGUUAUCCUACCAAAAAUCAAUUCCAUCUUACUCAACGGUGUCGAUAACAGACGGCAACAAUCUACUCUCCGAUGGCAGAGUGGAGUAACAUCUUCAGUGAUCUUCAUUCCCAGUGACUUUUUAACUGCAAGUAACUGGAAGAAUAUGGUUCUCAUAGUUUUUUAUACUUUUCUUUGUAACUACAGAGUCAUCAUUGUUAUAAUAAAGAUUAUACAGAAGUAUAAAUAAAUACCUAUAUUUCUGAGUAAUU